AAGCGUGCGCAGGCGGUUUUGUAAGACUGUCGUGAAAUCCCCGGGCUCAACCUGGGAAUGGCGAUGGUGACUGCAAGGCUAGAGUUUGGCAGAGGGGGGUAGAAGUUCCACGUGUAGCAGUGAAAUGCGUAGAUAUGUGGAGGAACACCGAUGGCGAAGGCAGCCCCCUGGGUCAAAACUGACGCUCAUGCACGAAAGCGUGGGGAGCAAACAGGAUUAGAUACCCCAGU
rnacentral:rRNA from 1 species